UACGUAGGGUCCGAGCGUUAAUCGGAAUUACUGGGCGUAAAGCGUGCGCAGGCGGCUUUGCAAGACAGAUGUGAAAUCCCCGGGCUUAACCUGGGAACUGCAUUUGUGACUGCAUGGCUGGAGUGCGGCAGAGGGGGAUGGAAUUCCGCGUGUAGCAGUGAAAUGCGUAGAUAUGCGGAGGAACACCGAUGGCGAAGGCAAUCCCCUGGGCCUGCACUGACGCUCAUGCACGAAAGCGUGGGGAGCAAACAGG
rnacentral:rRNA from 1 species